rnacentral:rRNA from 1 species
AAGAAUACUCUAGUGGCGAACGGGUGCGUAACACGUGAGAAUCUGCCCUUAGGAAGGGAAUAACUCUUAGAAGUAAGAGCUAAUGCCCUAUAUGCCGUCUGGUGAAAGAAUUUCGCCUAAGGAGGAGCUCGCGUCUGAUUAGCUAGUUGGUAGGGUAAAGGCCUACCAAGGCGACGAUCAGUAGCUGGUUUGAGAAGAUGAUCAGCCACAUUGGAACUGAGACACGGUCCAGACUCCUACGGGAGGCAGCAGUGAGGAAUUUUCUGCAAUGGGCGAAAGCCUGACAGAGCAAUACCGCGUGAGGGAUGACUGCCUACGGGUUGUAAACCUCUUUUCUCAAGGAGGAAGAACUGACGUUACUUGAGGAAUAAGCAUCGGCUAACUCUGUGCCAGCAGCCGCGGUAAUACAGAGGAUGCAAGUUUUAUUCGGAAUUAUUGGGCGUAAAGCGUCUGCAGGUUGAUGUAAAAGUCUUUUGUUAAAUAUCAGGGCUCAACCCGGAAUCUGCAAAAGAAACUAUAUAUCUCGAGUAUGGUAGAGGUAAGGGGAAUUUCCAGUGGAGCGGUGAAAUGCGUAGAUAUUGGAAAGAACACCGAUAGCGAAGGCACCUUACUGGGCCAUUACUGACACUCAGAGACGAAAGCUAGGGUAGCAAACGGGAUUAGAUACCCCGGUAGUCCUAGCCGUAAACGAUGGAUACUAGAUGUUGUGUAUUUUAUAUAGACAGUGUCGUAGCUAACGCGUUAAGUAUCCCGCCUGGGAAGUAUGCUCGCAAGGGUGAAACUCAAAGGAAUUGACGGGGGCCCGCACAAGCGGUGGAGCAUGUGGUUUAAUUCGAUGCAACGCGAAGAACCUUACCAGGACUUGACAUGAAGAGAAGUUUUUUGAAAGAAAAAUGUGCUACGGCCUCUUACACAGGUGGUGCAUGGCUGUCGUCAGCUCGUGUCGUGAGAUGUUGGGGUUAAGUCCCGCAACGAGCGCAACCCUUGUUUCUAGUUGAUACUCUAGAA